GCCAGCCACCGAGCAGCCUCUGUGCUCCCAUCUGAGAAACGGGCGCGGUACAGCGCCUGUGUGUCCCCAGUGAAGACUUCAUCACAUUGGGGGCUGGAACUGCCUAGUCAUGUGACCAUCUGUGAGCCCCCCCCCCCCCCCGAAAGGCUGGGACCUUCUGCCUUGGUCGCUGCUCUGUCCCCAGUGCCCAGCACACAGCCUGGCACACGGAGCUCAACCAAUCUUCUGGCCUGAAUAACUGCAUGAAUCAACAUACACUGGAUGAAUUAUUAUUAUAGAAAAGGUCCAGAGGGGGAGGAGGGGCUCCGGAGGCCACGUGGGACCGAGCCUUGGGACGAUGUUGCCGCGGUGGCUUUUGUUCUCCAUCUGGACGCCCUGACCGGCCUCUGCUCCGGGAGGAAGCGAUUAACGCAGACAAGGCCAAGAAAAGAGGAACAAAGGCGCCCGCAUUCGGGCCCGGGGCCGGAGCAGAAUGAGGGAUUUUCAGGCGAGGAUGUGGCAGCAGAAGUGGAACGUGGAAUCCUCGGACUGAAAGGAAGCCCGUUCGGGCGGAGGAUUCCACCAGCUUCGGGCACAAAGGCAGCGACGACCGGGGCCUCCUGGCAAAGCCGCGGGCACCUGCUCCCUUUUCAGAGGCCACAAUAAGGGCAGUUAAGCUUCCGCCCCCGGCCUCCUGGAACCCGGGGGCUCAGCUGUCCCGGGAGUUGCAGGGACACGAGGUGGGGGGGGGGGGCAGCAGGAGGGUCUCUCAGCUGAGAGGGAGGCUUUUGCAGUCAGAAGAACCCGGAUCCGACACCAAAGGAUCGCCUGGCUUGGGUUGGGAUCCCGGCUCUGCUCUCCCGAGGCGUUGCCAAAGCACCUGCUAUCGCACGGGCUCCUACGCUAGGCCCCGGGGACCCAGCAGCCAACAGGACACAGGCCACCUGCCUGGCCCUUGCAUGGCUGACCUUCUAACAGGGCGUGUGGCCUUCGUGACUGUGCGGCUCUGGGCCUUGGUUUUCCAUCUCUGGAAAAUGGGCUGCUGUUUGCGCCCACCGCCGGGGAGUUAAAACAGAAAAGCCCCCGGACAAGCCUGGUGCAGUCAGUGUCCCUAAAUAGUAGCUGGCGUCAGGGGCCCCCCACGCCACCUCAGCCCUGCUGACAUCGACCUGGGGCCAGGUCACUCUGUGUGUGUGUGGGGGGGGGAGGGGCGUCGUCCUGGGGGUGAUUGAGCAGCAUCCCUGGCCCCCCACCCACGUGAUGCUGGGAGCUCCCUCAACCCGGCUGUGACAGCGACAAAUGUCUCCAGAUAGGUCCUGCUGUCCCCUGGGGGCGAGGGGGUGGAGGACGGCUCCCACCCCAGCCUCCCCGCUGCGGUUUUACAUUGUUACUCUUUCUUAGUAAAGGCUCCUCGGGCCAAAGUGUGUGCUCCUGGCUUAGAUA
rnacentral:lncRNA from 1 species